UGAGAAGUGAUUUAACAGUAGUAUUGCUAAAAUGUUCAUAUUUAACGUAAAGGAGUUUAGAAUAGCUGACUGGUGGAGUAGCCUCUGAAACCUCUCUGGUUAAGUAUGGAUAAAUGUCUUAAGCAUAAAUUUGACCAGCUAACUGUUGUUCUCUAAAUAAGACUACAUUCUUAGAAUGAAAAGAGCAGAAUAGAACAAUUACAGAAUGAUAAUCCUGUACGUGUUUUUCAUUUUAUUUUUAGUGUCAGGUCUUCACUUAUUUUAAUUGCCCCAAAAUGCAAACUGUAUUCUUUUUGUUGUUUUUUAAUACAGCACUUUAAAUCUA